CCUACGGGAGGCAGCAGUGAGGAAUAUUGGUCAAUGGCCGUAAGGCUGAACCAGCCAAGUCGCGUGAAGGAAGAAGGAUCUAUGGUUUGUAAACUUCUUUUAUAGGGGAAUAAAGGUAUCCACGUGUGGAUAUUUGCAUGUACCCUAUGAAUAAGCAUCGGCUAACUCCGUGCCAGCAGCCGCGGUAAUACGGAGGAUGCGAGCGUUAUCCGGAUUUAGUGGGUUUAAAGGGUGCGUAGGUUGUUUUGUAAGUCAGCGGUGAAAGUUUGUGGCUCAACCAUAAAAUUGCCGUUGAAACUGGAAGACUUGAGUGUGUUUGAGGUAGGCGGAAUGCGUGGUGUAGCGGUGAAAUGCAUAGAUAUCACGCAGAACUCCGAUUGCGAAGGCAGCUUACUAAGCCAUAACUGACACUGAAGCACGAAAGCGUGGGGAUCAAACAGGAUUAGAUACCCCAGUAGUC
rnacentral:rRNA from 1 species